UACUAACUCUGGCGGCGUGCCUAAUACAUGCAAGUAGAACGCACAGUUUAUACCGUAGCUUGCUACACCAUAGACUGUGAGUUGCGAACGGGUGAGUAACGCGUAGGUAACCUGCCUGGUAGCGGGGGAUAACUAUUGGAAACGAUAGCUAAUACCGCAUAAUAUUGAUUAUUGCAUGAUAAUUGAUUGAAAGAUGCUAUUGCAUCACUACCAGAUGGACCUGCGUUGUAUUAGCUAGUAGGUGAGGUAACGGCUCACCUAGGCGACGAUACAUAGCCGACCUGAGAGGGUGAUCGGCCACACUGGUACUGAGACACGGCCCAGACUCCUACGGGAGGCAGCAGUAGGGAAUCUUCGGCAAUGGACGAAAGUCUGACCGAGCAACGCCGCGUGAGUGAAGAAGGUUUUCGGAUCGUAAAGCUCUGUUGUAAGAGAAGAACGGGUGUGAGAGUGGAAAGUUCACACUGUGACGGUAUCUUACUAGAAAGGGACGGCUAACUACGUG
rnacentral:rRNA from 1 species